GGCCGGGGGCCAGUGCGAGGGGAGAAGGCGCCAAAGCUGGAGAUUUCACGGUGGGUGCUGGAGCUGGUACCUGAGCUGGCGGAGACGCAAGAGGGGCCGGUGGUGGUGUUGCUGGUGGUGGAGUGGCGGGUGGCGGAGUGGCUGGUGGUGGUGUGGCCGGUGGUGGAGUAGCGGGUGGAGGAGUAGCUGGAGGUGGAGUUGCGGGUGGAGGAGCGUUGACUGGAGGUGGGGUGGCCGGCGGGGGAGCUGAGACAGGGGGAGGAGUUGAUGGAGGCGGAGACGUGGUAACUGGGGGCGGUGCUGUGGCAACGGGAGGAGGAGCUGACGUGGGAGGAGGGGUGGAUGCGGGAG
rnacentral:lncRNA from 1 species